rnacentral:lncRNA from 1 species
GCAAUAAUAUCAAAUAUGGCUUGAAAAUAACGAAACCAUCAGUUAUUGAUGAAAAUAAUCGUACAGAGUUCAAAAAUAUCAUGAAUUCAUUUAAUUAUACUAUGUGAAUAGUCUUGUAUUUAUAAAUGAAUUUGACAUGUUCCGUUCCUUUCCGUUAAAUACCAUUACCUAUAUUGGUAUUAGUAGUAGUAUUAUAUAUAGCGCUUUUGGCAUUUUGACCCCAUUUUGACCUUAACAUUUGAUCAAAACUGACCAAUGCUGGCCAAUUCAAAAAACAUUCGGUUUGGCCAAUUAAAAAACCUCCGGUUUGAUGGCAAGGUCCACUUACACAAUUAAAAAAAACACAGGUUUUGAAUCCAGUGAAGAAAACAUAUAUUUUAUAUAAAAUAUAUUUCAUUAAAAACCCGGAAGGAAACACUGAAAAACAAUUUUCAAUAGUAUUGUCCUUAUUGAUAAAUGACGCACGGUGUAUCGGAUUUACUACGCUAGCUUUAUGAAUGAAGUGUAGUAAUAUUCCCACGUACUUUUAAAAGCCAACCAAUGAAAAUGCAUUGAUUUUCACUUCCGCAUCUAGAACAUUCGUUUACGUAAAUAAACAAAUAAGUUUGUAUUGGUGAAUUAUACAACGGAAAUAAGUGGAAUUAAACAUCUAAAAUGAGUAUUCAAGAAUUGCCAAGAGAUACUAAUUAUCUAACUGGGUGUUUGAAAGAAAGAUAUCCCAACGGCCCUGACAUACAAACAUGGAAUUCGUUAUACUGCGGAAAAUACUAUGGACUCAUUCAACAGUAUGUCUGGCAUCCAGAUGAAUUACAACGUCAAUAUGCAAUACUUCACGAAGAAAACGAUUGCUUAAAACAAAAUAUAUCUGAAAAAACUACUAAACAACAAUUGGAAAAACUUCAAAAAGAGAACGUUUUCACUCGUUACUUGUAAUCACUCAAGCGUAGGAUUGUUUUACAAUUGCAUACAUGAUUGAAUAUCAUAGUUUUCACUUGUUUCCUGUAAUCACUCAAGCGUAGGAUUGUUUUACAAUUGCUUACGUGACUGAAUAUCAUACUUGUAAUCACUCGAGCGUAGGAUU